rnacentral:lncRNA from 1 species
GGCGCGGCUGUGCCCGUGGCCUAUUUUUGGCACACGGAGGCCGCCCGCCAAGUCUGUUGCCAUUCCGAGUCCCGCGGACGAACUUCGCCCACGCCCCCCACCAAGGCUAUAGCCCACCCGUUUUUUGGCCAUUUUUCCGCUGGGGGGUCUUGGGACCCCGACCUUCGGGGACUGGUUUUUCGGGGCGGCUGUGCCCGUGGCCUAUUUUUGGCAAACGAAGGCCGCCCGCCAAGUCUGGUGCCAUUCCGAGUCCCGCGGACGAACUUCGCCCACGCCCCCCACCAAGGCUAUAGCCCACCCGUUUUUGGGCCAUUUUUCCGCUGGGGGGUCUUGGGACCCCGACCUUCGGGGGCUGUUUUUUGGGCGCGGCUGUGCCCGUGGCCUAU